GGUUUGGGAUAAAGUUGUAAGUGGAUCCUGUAAGAUCCUAGUUUUCGUAGCCGUGGAAAUUUUACUAACCUUUAAAAUAAAAGUAAUGGCACUGAACAGUGCCGAGAAGAUAACAAAGUUUCUGGAAAAUAUUCCCCAGGACAGCUCGGAUGCGAUUGUGAGCAAAGCCAUCGACUUAUGGCACAAACACUGUGGGACCCCGGUGCAUUCAGCCUGACUGCUCCUGACGGUUGUGGACAGUCCACUGGGACCACCCUGAGCAUUUUGUUCUUGGAACAUGGUCUACUAAACUGAUUGAAAAUAGGGUUCUUACUUUGGUGCUCAAGGUGUAAUUUUUUUCCAGUAAAAUUAUUUAAUUAAGAUCUCUGGUGUUGCUGUGUUGUAGAGCAGCAUCUUUUGGUUACACAGAAGUACAGAGUUCAGCUCUGAAUAGCAUUUUAAAAGGGUUUUUAGAAAACAGCUCCCAGUUUUUGAAGCCGUUCUGUCGGGGUGGGUGGGGGCUUGAAUAAGCUGUGCUUGACCGGGCCUGCCCUGCUCUCGUUAAUUAGCACCAAGCGACUUACUUUCUGAGGUCUAUUUCUGAAAUAAAGAACAACUUCCUUUUGUUGACAACUCAGAUUCGGCUUUUGUUGCUGCAGUCCUUGUUUAAAUCUAAGCUGACUGCUUUCUCAGGCUUUGUCUUCCUAAAUAGGUUUAAAUAAAGGCCUUAUAUAUUUUUUUCUCUUUGUGCCAGUUGGAAUGAAACAGUUAUUGAACAAAUAUGUCUAAAUUUGCCUAGUAGGAGAGAGAGUACUUGCUGAUAUUUUGCUGGACUCGUGCCUUUUCCUGAUGGGUGAUUAAACAUUGGGUGGGCUUUGGGGAGCGCUCUGCCACCCGGAAUAGGAGUGGGAGAAAUGGUAGGUGAGGUUAAUAGCUAAUGAGCCCGGGCCGUAUUGUGCUGCAGAAUGGUAACUGACGUUCACUGGACGGCUGCGGGCUUUGAGACUGGCCGGGGAGACACGGCCUUUGUUUACAACUGAUUGGGCUCUCAGGCCUGCAGGAACCUGAGUGGUAAGUUGGAUUCUUCACCUACCCCUCCCCCAAAAGAGGAGGGAGCCCGUGAAAUCAUGGAGUUAUAAUUCUGAGAAUUCAGUCCCUCCCUCAUGUGUAAAAGAACUGUGGAAGGAGAGUUCAGAGCAGACUGAGCUGUUGAAACCAGCUGGUACUUCUGGAUAGCAACCUAUCCAGGAGUAUUUGAUUUUUCAAAACAAAAAAAUACACUCAGAAGGAAACUUCUUAAAGCAAACUGCUGUCUGCAGUUCAUACUUUACAUUUCUUCAGUGCUCACCUCUGCCCCCGGAGAACAUUCCAGGCAGUUGGAAAGAUAAGAAAAAACACGUGAGAAAGAAUUCCUGCUCCAGUUGUCUGCUGCCUGGUGAUCUCGGCGCAUGUCUGAAAUUCACAGAGAAGUCAUAAGAGCAAAAUAAUUUUACUUCUAUUUACGAGCCACAUAUCAUUAAUACAACUUUUUAGUAAAAUGGAGGUUGUGAAGUCAAGUGAUGUUAGUGAAUCUCAACUCCAAAAAAAGAAGAAGAUAAUUAGCAGUCUCUCAACAAGAAGAUAGUUUCAGGGUAUGUGCUCCUGCUCGCUCACACAUAAAUGCUGAGGGGAGACUGCGUGCGGCAAAGCCAGUGUGGGGCGGAGGGAGACCACAGCACCUGGGGCUCUUGGGGAGGAAGCUUAGGGGACUGGAAUAUUCUUCGUCACAAUUUUGGCAGGUCCAGAUGACCUGAAAGGGAAAACUAUUACUGUACUGCUAACGGAUCGGAAAAUAAGUGUUCUACACUAAGUAUAUUCUGUCAAACCCAGUUUGGUAAAACCUUUCUGGCUAUAGGGUGUGGGAUGGGGAUUUUCUUCAAGUGAGUCAAUCUGAUGCCAUCAAGUUUUCCUUAUUAAAAAAACUAAACAGCUCCAGCUCAGCAGAACAGUUUUUCAGGCCCACUGUGAGGACGGUGAUAGAAUAAGUGAGGAUCCGAUCAUUUUAAUAUCAGAACUUUAUUUUGCUGAGAGCCAAGUAUUUUGAAAGUGUUUCUGCCCACUGCCUUCCGUGAAAAGCAUAGCUCCUGAUGGAAAUACCCUCGUAUUCCCCUUAUUUGAAACAUUUUAAAAGUCAGGAUCCUGCAGAGUGUUUCCUCUAUGUUAAAGCCUGGGGUUUCUGUUGGAGCCACAACUGUUGCGGCUAAUACGUGGUUCAUCCCUCUCCCUUGGAAAACUGGGAUUAACAUCGUUAAGUUAGCUUCUCGUCCUUCCCCUCCACUGUGUCGUCUUAAACACAGAUGAGAGAAGCUCUAAAUCUGCUCUGCUAGGAGGUAUGCACAGAGGCCAAGGAGGGUUGCGGAGUGUGUGUGUGUGGCUGUUGCCUGUUGACAAAUUGAAGUGACCAAUUGUAUGUACACAGGCUUGUGUGUGUGUGUGAGGCCACUUCAGGAAGUGAGGUCAGGGUUCCUGAGAAUGAAAUGCUUUUUUGUUAGUGGGAAGUUUGGGUGGAAAUCAUGGGACAGCACUCAAAUCACGUGAUGUGUAGGAAGCGCUCUGAAGGCCUCCGUUCCCUGUCGCUCUGGGCGGGAGACAUGCCUGCCCUGUCUUGAACCGCUGAAGAAUCCUUCUUGGCUGUGACCGGUCCCCUGCCAUGUGGUCAUCACCUUCCCCCUGGGACUUGAGGCUUAUUUUUUCUUCCUGAAAUUGAGGAAUAUGGAGGGAGGUCUGUGGGGAGGAGCAUAUCUGCCCAGGACUAGGUCUGAAGACUCAAGUGCCGGCCUCUGCUGGCACUGUGAGAUGAACAGGAGUGGCGUCUGAGCUCUUUAGCCAAAGGCAGCCUGUGGGCGCUGGCAGGGCAUCUGGCUCUGCGUUUUGCAUCUGCCAGUGGUCAUGCAGGAGCCACCUGCCUACGUUGCCAGACCAAGGAUCUAUCACCCAGCAAGGUCACCCACCUUAAAUGCAGCCAGCAAGCACUGCAGCCCUUUCUGCUUCCCUCAAAACCUCCAAAAGCCCGUCAUCUGUUAAAUUAGAACACGGGAGAGCGCUCCCAUACAAAGACGAACUAUGUACAGACACCCGGGAAGCAAGUGGAAAAAGCAACCGGUUUGGGGAUGAAAAGACGAAUGAGAAGAAAAAGUCGUUUAAGGUGACCUUCGCCCACUGGCUGUGCACAGGGAGAGUCUGAA